CAUACAAAAAUAUUCUUUAAGAUAUAUUUAUUAAAUUACAAUCAAACUUAAUAAAAAAAGCUAGAAUAUUGAUGUGCAAAAAUCUAGAAAAAUGCAUACGAUAUGCAAAAAGGACAUAAAUCAUAUCCAGAACAAGUUAAGUUACAGAUUAUAAUAAUUAAAGAAACGGAUCUUCAUUUCACUUCUUUCAAUUCAUGAAAAUUUGAAUUCACAUAAAUAUCCGCAGUCCAGAUGCUUCAAUUUAAAUAUAAAUAUGUCGCUCACGUUUUCGAAUAUCGUUUUCCAAUCCACCAAGAGCGGACAGCUCCAUGGACAGCUGCCCAGGAUCCCAUCCCUAAAUCUUUAAAAUGGUUUCAGCCACAUCAUCCUCCGCCUUUCUCCUCCGGCAUUACCAUACUGGAACACACGCAAAAAUUCCGACCUCGAGGCAGAAGAGGAACGCGUCAGACGUGAGAAACAUCUCUCGAGGCCCCCUCGGGUGCUGGCACAAGAAGAUAUUAUCGAUAAAGGGAGUCUUUGGUGGCGCGUUUCCAAUGUAAAAGCGGGCCGGGUCCGCUCGUGUUCGCGCAUAUAAACCCCGUGUACGUGUCGUCACAAUAUACACGAUGGAUCCAUCGUCUCCUCACGUGUUCCUUUCCUAGGCAACAACCCCCUUAACCUACUUAUCCGACAAGAGUGGAUAUGAGUCGAGCCGAUUUCAACAAAAUUUGGCAAAGUGUUUACAGAAUUGUUGUCAGUCUUAAAAUCUAUGAAAUUUUAUGAAAAAUAGUUGUAUAAUAAUCUUUAUGGGAUUAUUUUAAAGCUUCUACAUCUGUUAAUUAAAUUGUUUUAAAAAUUACUUUACAAAAAGUUGAAAAAAUUCAAAAGAGCUCCAGACAUUAAAAAAAUUUUAUAGGUAACUAAAACCAUGGAUUUAAAAAUUGAAGACUUCUCUUUAUUUAAUUUUAAAAGACUAUUUGCAAUUCUUUAGCGUCUUAUUAAUCCAAUAAAAUAGAAAAUUGGUGUCAUUCUGUAUAAUAUUUUUUCAAUGAUUAAUUUUAUUAAAUAUUUAAUUUUAAAAAUAAUAAUUACAGCAAGAUCAAUCGUCGAUCAAUUCUCUCUAUCUUCAUGGAUAAAUUCAACUGGAUGAUUAGCAUAGGUGUUUGAAAUCAUUGAACUUAGUUCAAUAAAACAGGAUUUAGGUAUGGCCAUCUUUGCGAACAGCGUUAAAUGAAGCGAUACCAUUUAACGCCGCGUUUGCUGCAGCAUUGGGACAAUUUUGGGUUAAAUGAUGGUCCAAUGCGGCCGUUCUAACUGCCUACUGCAAUUUCUAGUAAUAUCGUUCCACUUGCGUUAUUCGUAGUGUGCUGUGGUUUUAUCAAGAAAUAUCAACCAGAGAAAUCACAUUUCAAUAAAAUAAAUAAUGUAACUGUAUCUUAACCACAAUCGUGUUUAUUGGUCAAUUUCUAAAAGAACUCGUUAUAUCUUGAAAGUUCAAUUUUGUGAAAUUGAUUAAUAGUAUUAGAUUAAUUGAGAGCACAAGAGGUAAGUUG